AACGAACGCUGGCGGCAGGCCUAACAAAUGCAAGUCGAGCGCCGUAGCAAUACGGAGUGGCAGACGGGUGAGUAACGCGUGGGAACCUACCUUACGGUCGGGAAUAGCUCAGGGAAACUUGGGGUAAUACCGGAUACGCCCUUACGGGGAAAGAUUUAUCGCCGUUAGAUGGGCCCGCGUAGGAUUAGCUAGUUGGUGAGGUAAUGGCUCACCAAGGCGGCGAUCCUUAGCUGGUCUGAGAGGAUGAUCAGCCACACUGGGACUGAGACACGGCCCAGACUCCUACGGGAGGCAGCAGUGGGGAAGAUUGGAGAAUGGGCGCAAGCCUGAUCCAGCCAUGCCGCGUGAGUGACGAAGGCCUUAGGGUUGUAAAGCUCUUUUGGCGGGGAAGAUAAUGACGGUACCCGCAGAAUAAGCUCCGGCUAACUUCGUGCCAGCCGCCGCGGUAA
rnacentral:rRNA from 1 species